rnacentral:lncRNA from 1 species
AUAAUAAUGUGAUACACAAAUUUAACAAACUAUUAUACCACAAUUUGUUUAACCCUUAAUUUGGCAGAAUUUUUUUUUUUACAUAAACCGAUUUUUUUUAUUGAAAUCGGGUUUAAGUCGUUUUAAGGCAUUACAAAAAAAUACGAAAAUAUAUCUUUACGUUUCAGUUUUCCUGAAAACUCAUGUAUGACACAGCAUACAUUGCCAAGUGAAUAGAAAACCAAGGGAUCAAAGUCGUGUAUGCUGGGAUAUACAUUGCCAAGUGCAGUGACUAAUGAAAUACCGACGGAAGAACGGUGGGCUGACGACGUCGGGAUCUGGUUUUUGGAUUUGGUGGAUUUACUGGAGUAAGAGGAGUUGUUGGGAGUGACGGAAUAUCACUCAGCACCGGUACUUUAUUGCAAUUUGGUUCUAAAGACGGACUUGAAUAUACUGUUUGAAAAAUGGGCGUAAGUGGAACAUUGUCGCUGUUGUAAUGUUCGUCAUCAUCUAGAAUGUUUAGUCUUUCUAAGGAAGAAUGAAUAGAAGGUGCUGGAGAAGAAAAUGAAGAAAGCGGGGUGCGUACACGAAAUUCCUCUUCGACAUCUGAGCGCUCGCUAUCGUCAGAGGGUGCAUUUUCAGCAGGCACAAGAGCUAAUAUUCUACCACCUCGAGUUAGUAGCGUUUGCUGGCAACAAAGAAACAAAAAAACAUGCUUCAACCAAAAAUAAAAAGCAAUCCCAAAUCACAAAUACAUGCGGUAUCUUGCAAAUUACAAAUAAAGCAUUUCAUUACAAACUUGGCAAUGUAUGCUGUGUCAUACAGACAAAACGAAGGGUCUUUCAUUACGAAUUUGGCAAUGUAUGCCACAGCAUACAUCAGUUUACCGACCAAAAUAAACUCAAAACACAAAGUCACCAUACACAAAAACAUAUCAAAUCCAUUCGAUUAUACUGUUAUGCAUAAAAUAUAGUUCAUAAAAACACCACAAACCAUGUCAAACCAAGUUAAAAUAAUAUAAAUACCUUAGUCAACACAGAUGAGCUACGCCGGGCCGCCAUUUUCGAGACCGAAUGUCAAAAUAAGUGUUGUUAGAGACGUGUUUUAUUUUUCCUUAUAAAAAUAAUUAGUAUUGCAAUGAAUUAAAAUGAUUUGUGACACAGACAUUUUUAUUAUACUAUGUCAAAUAUUUUUACAAAGUUAAUGUAUGCCAGUACAUACACUGCCAAUUUAAGGGUUAAAAUAAAUAAUUUCAAAACACAACAACAUUGAAAUCACAGCCAAGUAAAAAA